rnacentral:rRNA from 1 species
AUACGGAGGGUGCAAGCGUUAUUCGGAAUCACUGGGCGUAAAGGGUGCGUAGGCGGUUUGAUAAGUCUGAUGUGAAAUCUUAUGGCUCAACCAUAGAACUGCAUUGGAAACUGUCAGACUAGAAUACUGAAGGGGCAGAUGGAAUUAGUGGUGUAGGGGUAAAAUCCGUAGAUAUCACUAGGAAUACCGAAAGCGAAAGCGAUCUGCUGGGAAGUUAUUGACGCUGAGGCACGAAAGCGUGGGGAGCAAACGGGAUUAGAAACCCCAGUAGUCC